rnacentral:rRNA from 1 species
UACGGAGGGUGCAAGCGUUGUCCGGAUUUAUUGGGUUUAAAGGGUGCGUAGGCGGCCCGUUAAGUCAGUGGUGAAAGCCUCCAGCUCAACUGGAGAACUACCAUUGAUACUGGCGGGCUUGAGUACAGACGAGGUUGGCGGAAUUGAUUGUGUAGCGGUGAAAUGCAUAGAUACAAUCAAGAACACCGAUUGCGUAGGCAGCUAACUAGGCUGUAACUGACGCUGAGGCACGAAAGCGUGGGGAGCGAACAGG